GACGAACGCUGGCGGCGUGCCUAAUACAUGCAAGUCGAGCGAAGUUUUUCUGGUGCUUGCCCUAGAAACACUUAGCGGCGAACGGGUGAGUAACACGUAAAGAACCUGCCUCAUAGACUGGGACAACUAUUGGAAACGAUAGCUAAUACCGGAUAACAGUAUUUCUCGCAUGAGAGAUAUUUAAAAGUUGGUUAUGCUAACACUAUGAGAUGGCUUUGCGGUGCAUUAGCUAGUUGGCGGGGUAAAGGCCCACCAAGGCGACGAUGCAUAGCCGACCUGAGAGGGUGAUCGGCCACACUGGGACUGAGACACGGCCCAGACUCCUACGGGAGGCAGCAGUAGGGAAUCUUCCGCAAUGGGCGAAAGCCUGACGGAGCAACGCCGCGUGAGUGAAGAAGGAUUUCGGUUCGUAAAGCUCUGUUGUUAGGGAAGAAUGGAUAUGUAGUAACUAUACAUGUAAGAGACGGUACCUAACCAGAAAGCCACGGCUAACUACGUG
rnacentral:rRNA from 1 species